CCGACUAAAUUGCAUUUUGUGUCACGGUCUGGCGCAGGAUGUUGUUUGCUCUUACGGAGUUGUCUGCGGUAAUGGUUAUUUAAAGGCAAAAUGUGCAUUCGAUAAGAUCAGUUGGCGGAUUGCACCAACGCGAACUGAAUUCAAUUGAAGGAGAUAACGGAAAAAUACAUUAUUUCGAACCACAGCGUGCGCACUUUUAUGCAACAACAAUUGAUCAUGAUCACGCCUAUAUGCACAUCGUCUAAAUCAGCGGACUGACAAUGCUCCGAUAUUUCAUGAAACUGCCACCCAACAAACUGGCAAGCUGCUGUAAAUACGAAUGAAGGGAGGAAAGAGAGGCGGCGGAAAAAGGGCUGCUGUACUCUUUUAAUUGAGUAUCAAGUACGAAGAACUUUAAAGAAGCGUCAACAAACUAGAAGCGUGUCGCCCGACAAGCUGGUGCACUGCAGUAUGUGCAUAUGCGAGAUGAGUACAUUAAAUUGAAACUGGUUAGAUCCAAACGCCUCUGGAUUAAUCCGGCAAAUGUAUUCGUCGAGUUCUAAUUGCUUAAUUCGUGCCGAUUAAUUUUAGGGACUCUUUUCGAUUAGGCUUCAUCUAUCGAAAUAUAUCCAACGUGCUUUAAUACACUUUAAAUCUUCCACCGGAGACGGUGUAACCAUUCGACACGUGGACGGUGACUUUUUUUUUUAUUUUACUUCUCAAAUCACAAAUUUGAAUUGAUUGCAUAAUUAUUCGAUUACUUGUCAAUUGUUCGAUUAAUCGGUGAAAGGGGUUAUUCUUUGAAUAGCCGAUUAAAUUUUUUGUGUCAAUUAAUCACAAUUUGAGUUAUACUUACGAUACUUGCGGACCAUUUUCUGAGCUGUUCAAGAACGGGAUGAUUUUGGAAAGUGGGCAAAAUGAGACUGACAAAAUUCACAAUAUUAAAUAAGAAUUAAUAUACGUAUAAUAUAUACUGUGUGAGUUUGAAACUCAUCGGGUAUCUACCGUCAUAACACCCGAAGAUUAA